UGCCCAGCUUGCUGGGCGGAUCAGUGGCGAACGGGAGUAACACGUGAGUAACCUGCCCCAGACUCCGGGAUAAGCCUUGGAAACGAGGUCUAAUACUGGAUACGAGAUGCCCCUGCAUGGGGAGUGUCUGGAAAGAUUUAUCGGUCUGGGAUGGACUCGCGGCCUAUCAGCUUGUUGGUGGGGUAAUGGCCUACCAAGGCGACGACGGGUAGCCGGCCUGAGAGGGCGACCGGCCACACUGGGACUGAGACACGGCCCAGACUCCUACGGGAGGCAGCAGUGGGGAAUAUUGCACAAUGGGCGAAAGCCUGAUGCAGCGACGCCGCGUGAGGGAUGAAGGCCUUCGGGUUGUAAACCUCUUUCAGCAGGGAAGAAGCGCAAGUGACGGUACCUGCAGAAGAAGCGCCGGCUAACUACGUGCCAGCAGCCGCGGUAAUACGUAGGGCGCAAGCGUUGUCCGGAAUUAUUGGGCGUAAAGAGCUCGUAGGCGGUUUGUCGCGUCUGGUGUGAAAACUCAAGGCUCAACCUUGAGCUUGCAUCUGGUACGGGCAAACUACAGUGCGGUAGGGGUGACUGGAAUUCCUGGUGUAGCGGU
rnacentral:rRNA from 1 species